AUGCAGCUGAAAGUAAUAUGACUCCUACCGCAAGAGCAGCUUCAUCAUCACGGAAAUCGGACCAAUUAUCUCAAAUGCAACGUUACGAAGUAGAAGAAGGUUUAUUAUAUGGCCCUGGAAUUGCAGAUUAGCUAUAAUUUUUCGAAGUACCACAGUUCCCACCAUCAAGACACCUUUUUUUUCAGAUCGUCAAGCUGCGCCAUCUAUAAAAUGGACAAUUUUGAAUAUUUUUGACUAAAAAUAAUUUUUUUGUAUACUUUAAUAGUUAAUAAAUAUAUGUACAAAAUUU